rnacentral:tRNA from 1 species
AGUAAAGUCAGCUAAAAAAGCUCUUAGGCCCAUACCCUAAAAAUGUAAAUUAAAAUUUACCUUUACUA